rnacentral:tRNA from 2 species
CAGGGCGGAGCCGAAGACGUAUCGAUUCAAAAGUUCGGCGAUCUUGUUCGGGCCUCGAAGACCACUGCGUUCGGGACGCAGGAGUCGGAGGUUCGAAUCCUCUCGCCCCGACCA